GACGUAGGAGGCGAGCGUUGUCCGGAUUCAUUGGGCGUAAAGGGCGCGUAGGCGGUGCGGUAAGUCACCUGUGAAACCUCUGGGCUUAACUCAGAGCCUGCAGGCGAAACUACCGUGCUGGAGUGUGGGAGAGGUGCGUGGAAUUCCCGGUGUAGCGGUGAAAUGCGUAGAUAUCGGGAGGAGCACCUGUGGCGAAAGCGGCGCACUGGACCACAACUGACGCUGAGGCGCGAAAGCUAGGGGAGCAAACAGG
rnacentral:rRNA from 1 species